rnacentral:rRNA from 1 species
GACGAACGCUGGCGGCGUGCUUAACACAUGCAAGUCGAACGGUGAAGCGCCUUCCUUUUUGGUGGGUGUGGAUGAGUGGCGAACGGGUGAGUAACACGUGUGUAACCUGCCCCCUUCUUCUGGAUAACCGCAUGAAAGUGUGGCUAAUACGGGAUAUUCUGGGUCUGUCGCAUGAUGGGUCUGGGAAAGAUAUUGUUUCGGUGGGGGAUGGGCUCGCGGCCUAUCAGCUUGUUGGUGGGGUGAUGGCCUACCAAGGCGGUGACGGGUAGCCGGCCUGAGAGGGUGGACGGUCACACGGGGACUGAGACACGGCCCAGACUCCUACGGGAGGCAGCAGUGGGGAAUAUUGCACAAUGGGCGCAAGCCUGAUGCAGCGACGCCGCGUGAGGGAUGGAGGCCUUCGGGUUGUGAACCUCUUUCGCCAGUGAAGCAGGCCUGCCUCGUUUGUGGGUGGGUUGACGGUAGCUGGAUAAGAAGCGCCGGCUAACUACGUG